GAUGAACGCUAGCGGCAGGCCUAACACAUGCAAGUCGAGGGGCAGCACGGAUUGCUUGCAAUCUGGUGGCGACCGGCGCACGGGUGCGUAACGCGUAUACAACCUACCUUUUGGAGGGGAAUAGCCCAGAGAAAUUUGGAUUAAUACCCCAUAGUAUAUAGGAAUCUCCUGAUUUUUAUAUUAAACAUUUAUGGCCAUUAGAUGGGUAUGCGUCCUAUUAGCUAGUUGGUGUGGUAACGGCUUACCAAGGCAGCGAUAGGUAGGGGUCCUGAGAGGGAGAUCCCCACACUGGUACUGAGACACGGACCAGACUCCUACGGGAGGCAGCAGUGAGGAAUAUUGGACAAUGGGCGAGAGCCUGAUCCAGCCAUGCCGCGUGCAGGAAGACUGCCCUAUGGGUUGUAAACUGCUUUUACAGAGGAAGAACCACCCCCACGUGUGGGGGUUUGACGGUACUCUGCGAAUAAGGAUCGGCUAACUCCGUG
rnacentral:rRNA from 1 species